CCAGCUUCAGUGACCGCGAUGUGUCCAGUUGUGCAGGUGGAGAACUAAUUCACUAAAUAUGGUGGAUAUAAGUGAUUUUCUGCGUGGCCGAGGGGUCCCCGAAGAUGCUAUUUCAUUAAUGGAAGAGCAGAAGAUUGACUGUGACGUCAUAGCACUGAUGGAUGACGCAACUUUGGCGAACUACAUUCCCUCGUACGGAGACCAAAUUGCCCUCUUCAAUUUCUGCAAAAGCAAGCAACCACUGUCAAAAAGAAAACUAGGACUUCUGCAAAAAGUUCACCUCUCAAAGUGAGAGAAACAGUGGCUGACAUGUCAGAUUUGGAUGACUUAAUAAGACUGUAUUUCAGACUUUCUUUCAGUAACAAAGAAAUACUUUCAAUUUUAGCACAUAGUCAUCAGACAAUUAUAAGUGUUCGAACUCUAAAGAGAAUUUGUAAAAGACUUGGGCUUUUUAGAAGGAAGAAUCAAUCAAACUUGGAGGAAGUGCUAGCCUUUGUCCAACAAGAGAUCAUGACAAAUGGACAGAUGCAAGGUUAUCGUUGGCUUCAUCUUCGUGCAAUUCAGCAUGGAUUUGUGGUGUCACAAGAUACUGUAAGAUGCAUAAUCAAAUUGGUUGACCCUCAAGGUGUGGAACUGAGACGAGCUCGACGGUUGAGAAGACGUCAGUACAGCUGCAGAGGGCCAAAUGCUCUCUGGCACAUGGAUGGCUAUGACAAGUUGAAACCAUGUGGUAUUGCUAUCAGUGGCUGCAUAGAUGGUUUUAGCCGCUAUGUUUUAUGGAUGGAGGCUUAUACCACAAACAAUGACCCUAAAUUGAUUGCAAGUUAUUUUCUGAAAACAGUUUCAUGCAUCAAUGGAUGUCCAGAGAGAUUACGUGCUGACCGAGGUACAGAAAAUGGUUGUGUCGAACAAAUGCCGAUGUUUUUACGGAGAAACCACACAGACAGUUUUGCAGGUGAGAAAAGUUUCCUUUAUGGAAGAAGUACGGCCAACCAACGUAUAGAAGGAUGGUGGGCUACCCUACGCAAACAGAGUGCACAAUUUUGGAUGAACUUAUUUCAAACUUUUCAGGAUGAUGGCCACUUCACAGAGGAUUUUUUGGACAAAAGUCUUAUCCAAUUAUGCUUUCUCAAUCUUAUUCAGGAUGAACUUGAUGAAGUUGUGAACACAUGGAACUCGCACAAAAUCCGGCCAAGUGGUAGUGCAGCAUCGGGUCGACCAGUAGUAAUGUACUCAUUUCCAGAGCUGCACAGUGCUGAGGAUAGACUGAAACCUAUUUCUAUGGAGGAUAUCACUUUGUGUAUGGAAAAGUGUAGCCCAAAAGGUCAAUACCCCUGUGAUGAAACAGUCUUUGAACUGUGUUGUCUGCUUAUGGUAGAAAAUGAAUGGGAUGCCCCAGGAGAUCCACUUGGUGCUGCGGAUCUGUAUAUUAGGUUAAGAGAAGAAAUACUGCAAAGUAUUUAAGAAACUUCAGUGUGUAAAUGUACAAAUAAAUAUAAAAUAUUUCUCUUUAUCUUGAUAACGUGAUUUGAUAGUAGGUGCCAUGUCUUACAGGUACCUUUUAUGCAGGUAUUUCUGCACUGCAUUAAAUGAAAGACAUCUUUUAGGUGUGACCGAACAUGCCAUUUUUCAGGUCAUUCUGUGAGAAUAUUUCUGUUUAUUACUACUGUAAUGUAAAUUCAGAGUGCUGAUAGGAGGUCAGCACCAACUAGUAUCAUUUUAUGUUGAUCAUAGUAAUAAAUACAGUUUGGUUGGUAUCUUUUUCCCCCCAAGUUUGAUUGUUUUUCUACAUUCACACUACCAUUAAACAGAAAUGUUUAUAUAUUGCUUGAAAAAGCUGAAUAUUGUGAUAUUAUCAAUCAGUUAUGAAACACAUGUCAAUCCUUAAAAGGCCAUACAUUAAACUGCAUUUACAAAUGUUAUAUUUUUGAUUGAAUCAUAAGUGGUGUAAACCUGCCUACCAGUAAAUUGCAAUAUAAAUUUCUGUGUUUUGUUGCCAGACAUGUGCAUAGUAUAUAAAAUAUAAACUGACCAGCUCUCUGUUCAUUGUUUUCUGUAUCAACCUUUACUCUUAAUAUUCAUGGCUGGAAACCAAGGCACCAGCAUGUGAUAUGCUAGGUGCCCAGGUUAUCUGUGGUAUGUUUCAGCAAACCAUAGUAGCAUUAACAUUUCUAGGUCUUGACAACAGAACGUUUCUAUAAACGUAUCAUUGUUAAUAUUUCAAGUCGUUAUGCCUUUUGGGGAGCUUUUAGUGCAAUUAUAUUAAAGCAAAGCUAUUAUAAUCAUUUACACAUAUGAAGAUCCAUCACCUAAUUAUUAUUGUAUUUCACUUCUGUUAGUUGUAAGAUAUUUUAGCUGGUUUUCAUGUAAAAUGACCAUGAGUCAUUGCUAUACUGAUGCAGUGUAAGCUGUCGUAUACAAGGCUCCUUUAUGAUAUGAAUCCUAAAAUUAUAAGAAACAUACCAAAAAUAUUUUGACUUUUAUUUGUAGUAUCCCAGCAACAAUGCAACAAAACAGUUCCUGCAAGUGGAACCAAGUUAUUGUCCCAUUAAGUGCAACAUGUUUUACAUUUAUAUUUGUGUAUCUUUAUGAAAUGUUUGAAAUUAA